rnacentral:rRNA from 1 species
CUGUCGUCGCAGCUGGUAAUUCGCCGCGUACAAGCACAAAGCCGGGGUCUUUCACCUGCCGUGGCGCGCCCCGCCCCCCGCCGUCGCGGCGAAGGGCGGUACCUGCCGUACCUCAAGAAGAAGCUCCUUAGACGUCGUCCCAAGCACGGCGUCAACCUGUCGCCUCAAACGAAUUCCCUAGAGCAAUGGCCACUCGUUGACUGACUUCCGCCCUGUUCACCUUGUCUCCUACGCCUCCUCCGAAACUAAAGAAGAGACGGCUACCUAAUACUUCCCCCGCUUCCUCGACCAUACCCCCCACGCACAGCAUACUAGAACCGUUGCUUCCCUACCCGCUAAGGACGCUCUAUCCGCCACGUUUAUAUCAGGGACUACGGCGCCUGGUCCUAGGUCUGCUUCUACCGCACCCUCACAGUUCACGUUUGGUUAGAAGAACCUGGUCCUCUAGUUCGAGCGCGCUACCUUUAACGUUAUCCGCCACAGUACGGCGCCUGACGUGUAGCCACCACGUUUACCGUGCACGACCUCUUCCGUUUUCUCUCGGAACCCCGUGACGAAACGUUUCCCUUCACUUAAGUUCGGUCUUAAGUCGUUCGAUCAGGUGGUGUAUCAAUCAUAACUACUUAAACUCUUCCCGACCCGUACGUACUAACUUUUUAUACCGGAGGUCUGGUUACGUAAGGAUUGGGUCGAAAUGUUUCACUCCCCCUUCACCCACUUCGGUAUGAAGUACCCACACAAGACACGUUUCUACUGUUCAUGCGUCGCUUCGCUCUCGCGUUUGGUGGAAGACUUUCCCAUACAUGGUGGUCCGACGGGGUACGUAAACAAGUUGGCCGUUAUACUCUUCUACGUUAAACUGCCAUUGAGUCUUCUUUCAAUGGUCCUCUUUUCCUGUUUUGAUCCCCCUAACAGGACUCCGUUUUAUAGGGUCAGCUCCAUGUACGUAGCGUCCAAAUGUGGUCUUGUUACAAACUCUUUAAACCACUUCGUAACAUGCACACACCCAGCAUACUAGAUCAUCUUCAGUUCGGGGUUAACCUAAUGUAACGAUCCGUGUAUUUUAAGGUCAGUUCCCUUUUCACCACGUUCUUACUCAAACAGUAGAGGCACUCACUCUGUCGGCUACUCAAGUCCACGCUCACACCUUGUAAACUCGUGAUACCUUACCAAACGUCAGUACGCGAAUUCCAGUACUACGUGGAUUUUGACGUACUCGAGGGAGGCUUUGUACACGAGUUCGCUACCUGAUCUCUACGUUCUCUAUAUGAUGACGGCCUCAUAAACGCGAUGGUCUUCCUGGUACCCGGGGACUUCAUAAGAAGAGUAGCUGUGUUGUGAAAUGUGAACAACCGUCACCUACACCAAUUCAAUCCACUGUCGUUACACCUUCGUAUACGUGAACGUUACCUCUUUUACGCUCUACAGUUUCACUACGAGCUCGGUCAACGGCGGCACGCUCUACCCGAACCAAACAGACUAUCUCUCGACCGACGUCUAAGUCGGCCGAGACCCCACCCUUGUUCAUCGUGAAACCCUCUUGACUUAGAUACGUGUGGGAAAGUGUUCCUAGUCCACACAAAGGUCGCGGCAGGUUCUUUGCUAGCCAACCCGCAGGUUGUUGAUCGGCGCUGUUCCGAGGUAUACUUGUUGGUAGCUUCUCCUCGUUUAAGACAAGAUAUACAUCUUAAGUACCCGUGUUCUCGUGUUGUACGGGACGGUCUCCCCUACACGGUUUCCGUGGAUCCUUUAGAGGCGCGACGAGUUUUACACCCACUGUCCGGUGUCCUUAUUGCGUACAUCGUUGGGCGGAUUUCAGACUCUUUUAGACUUAAAAUCACAGACAAGCCUCGGGGAGGCGAGGUGUUGAGACGGUGCCUCGCCUCGCCCGACGUCAAGUUUUAAAGUCUCGCCCCCUUAACCACGAGGCGGUCUAAGCACCUCGGCCACCUAAUGGUUUGUCCGAGAAUCACAAACAAAAUCGCUAACAUACCUAAACCGACACACCGUGAAACAAUAAUCUUGGGCAUACAAUAAACACAUUUUGUAGUUCUCUUGCCAGUCGACGUUGUAAGCCUAGGCUCAAUCGACCGAGGUUGCCGGUCUUCGGGGACUACUUGUACUCUCGCACUCGCACGGGUACAAGUACUCACACGCACUCACUACAACCGUGACGUCCCGGUACUACCCCCUCACGUAGCGUGCCUAUUGGUUGGACAGUCGCUCGGCACCUGCUGUACCCUACGAUGACAUCCUUUUAUGUCUUAUGCCCCAACCCCAACGUUGACGAUCGAGCUUAUGUACUGUAUUUACGCAGCGACGUCGUAGAGCUACCCUAAUGACUGCUGGUCCUAUUGCUCGACGUACCUCGAGCCGGAGGUUUGCCGUAAAAGCGUUGGAAGUCCCGAAACAUGAGGUGCGACAUAUGACAAUAACUCGACUUACUUUAAACAGAACAAGUUUUUUUUCACUCUCACGGUGACGUACCCGCGAGGGAUGACUGGUACUGAAAAGGAGUCCUUUUAUAGAAGCGUGGAUGGCCAACAGUUUAACUGUCGGUGGGUUGAAAGUUGGGGGAACUACAUAACAUCUCGUGGUUUGCAUGAACGGUCCG